GAGUUUGAUCAUGGCUCAGAUUGAACGCUGGCGGCAGGCCUAACACAUGCAAGUCGAGCGGAUGAAGGGAGCUUGCUCCUGGAUUCAGCGGCGGACGGGUGAGUAAUGCCUAGGAAUCUGCCUGGUAGUGGGGGAUAACGUCCGGAAACGGGCGCUAAUACCGCAUACGUCCUGAGGGAGAAAGUGGGGGAUCUUCGGACCUCACGCUAUCAGACGAGCCUAGGUCGGAUUAGCUAGUUGGUGGGGUAAAGGCCUACCAAGGCGACGAUCCGUAACUGGUCUGAGAGGAUGAUCAGUCACACUGGAACUGAGACACGGUCCAGACUCCUACGGGAGGCAGCAGUGGGGAAUAUUGGACAAUGGGCGAAAGCCUGAUCCAGCCAUGCCGCGUGUGUGAAGAAGGUCUUCGGAUUGUAAAGCACUUUAAGUUGGGAGGAAGGGCAGUAAGUUAAUACCUUGCUGUUUUGACGUUACCAACAGAAUAAGCACCGGCUAACUUCGUGCCAGCAGCCGCCG
rnacentral:rRNA from 1 species